rnacentral:rRNA from 1 species
UACGUAGGUGGCAAGCGUUGUCCGGAAUUAUUGGGCGUAAAGCGCGCGCAGGCGGUUUCUUAAGUCUGAUGUGAAAGCCCACGGCUCAACCGUGGAGGGUCAUUGGAAACUGGGGGACUUGAGUGCAGAAGAGGAGAGCGGAAUUCCACGUGUAGCGGUGAAAUGCGUAGAGAUGUGGAGGAACACCAGUGGCGAAGGCGGCUCUCUGGUCUGUAACUGACGCUGAGGCGCGAAAGCGUGGGGAGAAAAAAGG